CUUUUAUUCAAGCCUCUUAGAGAUUUCCUGUUUGGAUAUUUGCUACUUGGCUACUUCAAAAGGAUAGAAAAGGGCUGGGAGAAUAAAAGUUGUGGAGCACUUAUGUAGGGUUCACUCCAUACCAUGAGAAAAAAGAAGGAAGAAAAAGAAGGAGAAGAAGAAGAAGAGGAAGAAGAAGAAGAAAGAAGAGGGCAAAAUCUUAUGCCACACAACCUAGGCUGGUCAGUGGUGUACUCUCAAAAUGUAUUGCAGUGCCAUGCCACCCUGCCUUGGAGUCAGCUGAUCAUGGACUGAAACCUCUAAAAAGUUCAAGUAAAUAUUCUUCAGACUCUCCAGGAAACUCAAUAUCCAAGGAAGAACGUUUGAGGCAGAAGCAGAUGAUGAGUGGAUAGUCAGGUCUGGAAGAUGCUCAUAUCAUUCUCAGUUAUAAGGCUACAGUCACAAUGCAAUUGGAAACCAAGAACUCAGCUGAGGUUAAUUAACUCUGAAGAGCCUUUGAAAUCUGUCACUAUCAGCAUCCAUCUACUUUUCAUCUGAGAUAUUAUCUCAGAUGAUAUUAUGAAGAUGAAAAUUGAAAAAGCAUGAUUCAGACGGAGCUGCAUUCAAAUGAUGCUAACAGGCACUUGGCCAUGUUAAUGUUUCCAGGUCUGUUUCCUUGCCUACUAAACUGGAUAUCUAAGAAGUAAGAUACCAUAUUCUAAGCACUUUCAUUAGACUAUAGGUACCUUGAAAGCAGGGACUAUUUCCUCUCAUCUUCAUUUAUCCAAUAUUAACAGUACUAGGCCUAUACUAUUCUGUAGUUACUCAGAACAGGUGAAUUUCCUCUUCAUGGUGAUUCAAGAUACACUCCAGGCACCAUUAUUUUUAUACUGUUAGGCUGAUUAGGAGUUUUUCUUCUUCGUGGGUCUCAAACUUUCCCUUCAAUAAAAUAGAAGCCUGGAUAAGAUCUCCAAGAUCUUUUACAGCUCUAAUAUUUCAUGGACCUGUGCCCAUUCAGUACACUCUACUCACCGCUGCUCCUAGAAACUAAUAAUGCUACAAAGAAGACAAUAACAAGUCACAAAUCACUAUUUACAGAUACACCUACAUUUAAAACAUUCUAUAAUAUAGCUACAAUACUCAGGCCUACUUUUCCUUUUAAAAGGUCAAACUUAUUUUUUUAAUCUUUAUUUGGAUUAUUCAGGGAAAUGAAAUCUGGGACAAGUUGCACUAACAUGCAUUAUACAGCUUGAACCUGGGUGGCUAAUUGCACAAUUACCGUGAUUGAUAAAUGCUGCACUGCAAUCAGCUGGAAGCUGCUGCCUUCUUCUCAAUGAGGUCACAGAGGAGGGCUGGGGUAUUGCCAUCUAACAAGCAGGUCUGUUUGUUGGAUGAACAUUAAAAGAUUUUGCCAUUAUAA